rnacentral:rRNA from 1 species
UACGUAGGGUGCAAGCGUUAAUCGGAAUUACUGGGCGUAAAGCGUGCGCAGGCGGCUAUGCAAGACAGAUGUGAAAUCCCCGGGCUUAACCUGGGAACUGCAUUUGUGACUGCAUGGCUAGAGUACGGUAGAGGGGGAUGGAAUUCCGCGUGUAGCAGUGAAAUGCGUAGAUAUGCGGAGGAACACCGGUGGCGAAGGCGGCAUCCUGGACCAAUUCUGACGCUGAGGAGCGAAAGCCAGGGGAGCAAACGGG